rnacentral:rRNA from 1 species
GGGGCUGUGUUUAUUAGAUACAAUACCAACCCACUUUGUGGAGUCUUGGUGAUUCAUAGUAACCGAACGGAUCGCAGUUUGGCUUCGGCCCGCGAUGGAUCUUUCAAGUUUCUGACCUAUCAGCUUUCGACGGUAGGGUAUUGGCCUACCGUGGCAGUGACGGGUAACGGGGAAUUAGGGUUCGAUUCCGGAGAGGGAGCCUGAGAAACGGCUACCACAUCUAAGGAAGGCAGCAGGCGCGCAAAUUACCCAAUGAAAACAGUUUCGAGGUAGUGACGAGAAAUAACAAUACAGGGCAUUUUAUGCUUUGUAAUUGGAAUGAUGGGAAUGUAAAACCCUUCCAGAGUAACAAUUGGAGGGCAAGUCUGGUGCCAGCAGCCGCGGUAAUUCCAGCUCCAAUAGUGUAUAUUAGAGUUGUUGCAGUUAAAAAGCUCGUAGUUGGAUUUCUGUCGUGGUCGUCCGGCGUUGCUCGUAUGGGUAGAUGCCUGGAUUGCCCGCGGCUUCCUUCCGGUGACUCCUUCCACGCUUAAUUGCGUGUGUUGUGUGUUCUGGAACUUUUACUUUGAGAAAAAUAGAGUGUUUCAAGCAGGCUUGUCGCCCUGAAUACCGCAGCAUGGAAUAAUAAGAUAGAACCUGGGUUCUAUUUUGUUGGUUUAUAGGACUGAGGUAAUGAUUAAUAGGGACAGUUGGGGGCAUU